rnacentral:rRNA from 1 species
GACGUAGGGCGCGAGCGUUGUCCGGAUUUAUUGGGCGUAAAGAGCUCGUAGGCGGCUCGUUGCGUCGGCUGUGAAAACCCGCAGCUCAACUGUGGGCUUGCAGCUGAUACGGGCGGGCUGGGAUUCGGUAGGGGAGACUGGAAUUCCUGGUGUAGCGGUGAAAUGCGCAGAUAUCAGGAGGAACACCGGUGGCGAAGGCGGGUCUCUGGGCAACAACUGACGCUGAGGAGCGAAAGCGUGGGGAGCGAACAGG